UACAGAGGGUGCAAGCGUUGUUCGGAAUUACUGGGCGUAAAGAGCGUGUAGGCGGUCUAGAAAGUCAGAUGUGAAAUCCCGGGGCUCAACCCCGGACGUGCAUUUGAAACUCCUAGGCUAGAGUGUGGUAGAGGAUAGUGGAAUACCUAGUGUAGUGGUGAAAUACGUAGAUAUUAGGUAGAACACCGGUGGCGAAGGCGGCUAUCUGGGCCAUAACUGACGCCGAGACGCGAAAGCGUGGGGAGCAAACAGGAUUAGAUACCCUGGUAGUCCACGCCCUAAACGAUGGAUGCUCACUGUAGCGGGUAUUGACCCCCGCUGUAGUCUAGCUAACGCGUUAAGCAUCCCGCCUGGGGAGUACGGUCGCAAGAUUAAA
rnacentral:rRNA from 1 species